UUGGUUUGCUUUAGAAUUCCUACGCUUUAUCAAUUAAACGAUGAAAAUAAACGUUUUAUAAUCGCUGGCAAAGCGUUUGGAUUCUGAAGCAAAACGA
rnacentral:pre_miRNA from 1 species